UUUUCAAAUAAAUAUUAAAAUUAAUUAAAAUUUAAUUAUUGCUAAACAAUUUUGAAAUCGAAUUUAUUUAUAUGGUAAUAAACGUAUUUUAUAUAAACCAGUAAUUAUUUUCCGUAAAUAAUUAUUCCAUAAUAAUAAUUAUUCGGGAAUGGUAAUUGUUUUACCUAUAUAAUUCUUUUUGGUAAUUGGGUAGGGGUUUUUUAUUUUAUUAUUACGUAAUUUCGUAAUUUCUUUUAUUUUUGUCCGUAAUUUUCGGGGGUUUUGGUUUGGGUUCCCGACAUUUUUUCCGUUUUUACCCAAUUAUGUCGAUAUUAACCCUAAUUGUAAUAUUAAAUUUCCUUUCCCAAAACCAAAUUCCGUGGCCGUAUAAAUAAAUUAUUCCCCUGUUGGUUCGUUUUAAUGUUUUUUUUCGUUUUUAAUUUAAAUGGCGAAAUAUCCGGCCGUAUUAAUUGGAAUCGCGUCGAUCGGCCUUUUGUUUUUAUUUUACGUUGUAAACGUUUAAUUAAUAAUAUUGCAUUUAAAAAUCUCGAAAUUAUAUUUUGCGCUUUUUAUUUUUUCCGGGGUUUAUCGUAUUAAAUAAUUGCGGCAAAUUCCCGUUAUAGUAAAUAUAUUCCUCGUAAUCGCAAAUGCGAUAUUUCGGCGGUUCCGGUUUUAAAUUUAUAUACGCAUUGUCCAAAUGGGAUAAUUUACCUGGUAUUUUUUUAUCAACCCUGUUUUUUAAAAACCGUUUAAUUUAGGAAAAAAAAAUUGGAAUUGCAAAAAUUUAAAAUGGAGGAUAAAAUUUUUCGUUUUUAACGUAUUUCCAUUACCGUUUUUAAUUGUUUAUUCCGUUUAAAAAAACAAAAACGCCUAUUUUAAUCCAAAAAUAAAAUCGAAAUUUCCCGUUUGGGUAUUAAAUUGGAUUAGAAGGACGUUAUAAAAAAAAUCGUUUGAAUAUCGAUAAAUUGUUUUUCACUAAUUUUUUUAAAUCGGGUUUGGUUCCGGAAUUGCGUUUUUUAAAUUACGUCGAUAUUAUUAAUCGGUUUUCGGUAUUGGGUACCGAUUCGCAAAAUUGGGUUUUUGCAAAUUCAAUUUCGGAAAAUGGUAAAUAGUGUUUUUUUAAAUCGCUUUUUUUUGGUUAAUUUGUUCGCAAUUCCAAUUUUUGGUAAUAUUAGCGGAAUAAUUUUUGGCAAUUUUGGAAAUGGUUAAAGAAUUCCCAAAUAUUUUUUUCGUAUCCAUAAUUUUCCCAUUUAACAAAAUAUUUUAUUUUGCCGUAAUUGCGUUUGUAAUAAAAUAUUCGUUCGAUUUUAUAAAUUUAUUUUGCGUCGAUUUUAAUUAUUCUUUGCGUAUUGGUAUUAUAUAAUAUUGGUUUUAAUAAUAAUAUGUAAAAUAUGGGGUGGAUUUUUAUAAUAUUUGGUAACGAUAAUUUGUAAUUAAUUUCGUUAAUCUUUUUGUCAAUUUUGAAAAAUCCAAAUUUUUU
rnacentral:sRNA from 1 species